UACGUAGGGACCGAGCGUUGUCCGGAAUCAUUGGGCGUAAAGAGCGUGUAGGCGGCCACUUAAGUCCUGCGUGAAAUCUUGCGGCUCAACCGCAAGCGGUCGUGGGAAACUGGGUGGCUAGAGUCCGGAAGAGGCGAGUGGAAUUCCUGGUGUAGCGGUGAAAUGCGCAGAUAUCAGGAGGAACACCAAUGGCGAAGGCAGCUCGCUGGGACGGUACUGACGCUGAGACGCGAAAGCGUGGGGAGCAAACAGG
rnacentral:rRNA from 1 species